CCUUUUCAUGUAUUGAGCCUCUACGUGGCGAAAGGGAUCAACGGACGAAAAGUCUGGCUAAUCAGUA
rnacentral:ribozyme from 1 species